UAUGCUAUAAUCAGUGGAUUUUUUUUAGCGUCAAUUUCUCUCUCUCUCUCUCUUCAGCUAAACAACCUGGACAUGGCGUCUCCUCCAUUUUUGAACAAAGAAAAUCCCGGAGCCUCUGAUCGUUUGGUCAGACCUUUUUCUUCUUCUUUUUCUUCACGACGACUCUGCUCACCGCUCUCAAUCUAAACAGGCCCAUUUCCUUCAUUUUUCAUUUCUCUCCCAUUUCCGCAUUUUCACCAUUCAUUUACAAUAACUUUUUUUUCUUUCUUCUUCUUUCCAUUUUAUAAUCGCAAACUCUACAAUUUAUUUCGUACUAUUUUUCAUUAUUUUCAUUCUUCUGCCUGACCAUUUUGUGGUAAUUAUAAUUAUUUUCUUGCAGAUUUUCUCUUUAUUCUUUGAAAUUCGAGAUCUACCACACUUUUUUUUUUUUUUUUCCUGAUAUCUCAUUUCAUUUAGCAAUUCUUGUAAUUAUUUGUGGUAAUUGUAGUGAAAUUCUUGAAAAUUUCGAGAAUCUACGAGUUGGAUUCCUAAGGAGGAUUAGCUUAGGGUGGGUGCAAUCAGGUUUCCAAAGUUUCAUGCCUUUAGGAGCGAAAAAGAAAAAAACGCGUAGAGUUAGAGUUAGGGUUAGGGUUUUGUUCGAGGUCUCUGAUCAGUGCGAUCGCACACACAGCUGGAGCUUCUUGAAUUCUUUUAGCGAUAAUUGAUCUGAUCAAUUAGGAUGUUGGGGAUUCAGAAGGGGAAGAUCAAUUAGCAUAUUUUGAUGGGGAACACAUGUGUAGGUCCAAGUCUCAGUGCUAAUGGAUUCUUCCAAUCUGUUAGUGAUGCGGUUUGGCGAAGCCGGCCACCGGAGGGCCAGCUUCCCCCACCCAGUGCCGAAAUGAGCACCAAAAGCGGUGCGGAUUCCCCUGAAGGUUCAAAUGCUCCCAAAGUUUCCGAUCCUCCAAUGCCAGUUCAAGUUUCCGAUCCUCCAAUGCCAGUUCAAGGUCCUGAUCCUCCAAUGCCAGUUCAGAGCACACCGCCUGAGCCGGUGAAGAUUGCUGCCAAUGAGCAAGUUCAACCCAAAGAACCCGAGAAACCCAUUAAGCCGGAGGUGAAAGAGGAGGGGAAUAAGGCUGAGAAUGCUGGGAAACCCAAGAAACCCACCCAUAUAAAGAGGUUGUCAAGUGCGGGGCUUCAAAUGGAAUCGGUGUUAGGGAGGAAAACAGAUAAUUUGAAGGAGAAGUAUACAUUGGGGCGGAAGCUGGGACAAGGGCAGUUUGGGACGACGUUUUUGUGCUUGGAGAAAGGGUCUAACAAACAGUUUGCUUGUAAAUCUAUCGCCAAGAGGAAACUGACCACGCAAGAGGAUGUGGAGGAUGUUAGGAGGGAGAUUCACAUAAUGCACCACUUGGCGGGUCAUCCCCAUGUGAUACAAAUCGUGGGUGCUUAUGAGGAUGCUGUUGCCGUUCAUGUUGUUAUGGAACUUUGUGCGGGUGGGGAGCUUUUUGAUAGGAUUAUACAGAGGGGGCAUUAUACGGAGAGAAAAGCGGCUGAGCUUGCAAGGAUUAUAGUUGGUGUUGUGGAAGCGUGCCAUUCUUUGGGUGUUAUGCAUCGGGACUUGAAGCCAGAGAAUUUUCUCUUUGUCGACCAGGAAGAGGAGUCGCCACUUAAAACAAUAGACUUUGGGCUUUCGGUGUUCUUUCGGCCAGGUGAAACUUUCACGGAUGUGGUUGGAAGCCCUUAUUAUGUGGCCCCAGAAGUGUUGCGGAAGCAUUAUGGUCCAGAAUGUGAUGUUUGGAGUGCCGGAGUGAUAAUUUACAUCUUACUAAGCGGUGUCCCUCCGUUCUGGGAUGAAACGGAGCAAGGAAUUUUUGAGCAAGUCCUAAAAGGCGAACUUGACUUUGUAUCAGAACCAUGGCCUAGUAUAUCAGAAAGUGCAAAGGAUCUGGUUCGAAGGAUGCUUGUAAGAGAUCCAAAAAAGCGACUUACAGCCCAUGAAGUUCUUCGCCACCCAUGGGUUCAGGUCGAUGGUGCUGCUCCUGAUAAGCCUCUUGAUUCUGCUGUUCUAAGUCGCUUGAAGCAAUUCUCUGCCAUGAACAAGCUCAAGAAAAUUGUCAUCAGAGUCAUUGCUGAAAGUUUGUCUGAAGAGGAAAUUGCAGGUUUGAAAGAAAUGUUCAAGAUGAUAGACACAGAUAACAGUGGACAAAUCACCCUUGAGGAACUGAAAAACGGCUUGGAAAGAGUGGGAGCUAUUCUCAAGGAUUCUGAGAUUAGUGGACUAAUGCAAGCAGCAGAUAUUGACAACAGUGGUACCAUAGACUAUGGCGAGUUCAUAGCAGCAAUGCUCCAUCUAAACCAGGUUCAGAGGGAGGAUCAUUUGUAUGCAGCCUUUUCAUACUUUGACAAAGAUGGGAGUGGAUACAUCACUCCAGAUGAACUACAACAGGCCUGUGAGCAGUUUGGCUUAGAAGAUGUUCACCUAGAAGAUAUAAUACGUGAAGUUGACCAGGAUAAUGAUGGGCGCAUUGAUUACAGUGAGUUCGUGGCUAUGAUGCAAGACACUGGUUUUGGAAAGAAGGGGUUGCAAAAUAACAUGAGCAUUGCAAAACAUUUAAGACUUAACAAAAUUUGAAGCGCAUAGUGUUGUAAAGAUCAACCAGCCUUCAGGCUUCAGAGUGGGAGAGGAGCUACUCUUUAAGGCUGCCGUGUCCAACACGAGUCCAGAGUCCAGAGUCUACGAGAUUUGUUCGAAGCCGCGUCUGACAUGCUGGAACGGUAUCUGUAUGUAACCAAAUUGGAUGCCAGCCAAUUUUCUAAAUAGAGUUGUGUUAUGCCUUUUACUCUUACUCCUCUUUUAGACAUGGGCAUUAGGAGAUAGUCUCUAAGUUUGCUCAAAUUUCAUUGUUGGAGUAGGCUGAUGAUUCUCGUACAUCAUCUUGGUGUCUACAUCAAUCAAGCGUACAUCAUACAUGAGACUCACACCCAAUGUGUCUUGGUGUACAUCAAGUGUAUAUCAAGUGUAUAAAACAUCUCGUUGGAGUAUCCCUAUAAUUUUAAGAGAUAUGUUACGCAUACAUUUUUUUU